GCUCAUCAUCUGGUUGUG
rnacentral:miRNA from 1 species